rfam:Arabidopsis thaliana chromosome 5, complete sequence.
GUAGGUGAUGAUGAUAAAGAUGAACGCUUGGGAACUUCGACUGACAGUGAGAACACUGAACUUUC